UUUAACCUAUUCCCCUUAUGUAUAGUGGAUUUUGUGGUUCUGCAUUUGAUCAACGGCCUUUGAUAAGAUUUGUUCUUAAGAGUUUUUCUUGCUAGCCUUUUUUGUUCGAGGGUAUGAAAACUUGUGCAUACUUUGAAUAUGGAAUUUGAUAUAUAUUGCUCCUUGCUCCCACGGGGAAUUAGGAAUAUUGAUAUGCUUAGUCAUUCUGUAGUUUCUUCCGAUAUAAACUAGGCUGUUUGAGUUACAUACUUGUAUGACCUAUGAAGACAACAAUGUUUCAGGUGAUAACAUUUCUUGAUUGAACCAAGCGAUGAAUUCUUCAGUUUUUGUGUAAGUAUCUUAGUUGCGCAGAUUGCCAUCCGUAAAUAUUAUCACUUGUAAUACUAUGAUUGGAGUGCAUCCUCUCUCACUAAUAAUAACAAAUAAUUUAUAGACUUGGAAUAUUUACUGUAAUGAGUACUGAGGAGCACAACUCGGAUCAUGUGCGAGAAUGGGAAGGAUAUCGGUCAUCUGCAACUUUGGAUGGUUCCUAAGGUGGUAAAUCUUAUUCAUUUCCCAAACCUUAUUCAUUAUUAUGCAUGUUUAUUUAACUUACCUUUCGUCAGAUUAACACGAUUAACAUAAUCAAAUACAAAAAAUGUUAGCAAUUGCAAAAGGUUCAUCUAGAUAAUUCAAUAUCCUUGCUAUUUUAUUUAGAUAACCAUACAAUAAUAUUUCAUUUUGUCGUUCUAUAAAUUCCACUGCAUUGUUUAUAUUACCAAUGUCUACUUAUGUUUAGUUUGAAUAGAACUGUAUGUAAGUAAGUUUUACGUCAGUGUUUUCAAAAGACAAGCGAUUGAAAGCAGAGGAUUGAUGCAGCUGGUGUUCGUGGUGCCGUGACCAGGAAGGUGGCACCAUGGAUUCUCGCCUACAGCUUCCUACUCUGUUCAUCUUCCAUAUCUUUGGAAGGCAAGUUGGAGAGGGAAACGAGGCAGAUCGAGUUGGAAGCGGGAGGAAGGAGUUGUGCUUGUUCAGGGUAAUGUUCUUCAAGUCUCAUGUUGACGCUGGUUUGUCCCACACCAUCGGAUCCUCUGACCCU